ACAGGAUUAGAUACCCUGGUAGUCUAUACUGUAAAUUAUGAGUGUUGUAAUUUAAAAAUAAUUAGAUUUUUUAAGCUAACGCUAUAAACACUCCGCCUGAGGAGUACGAUCGCAAGAUUAGAACUCAAAGGAAUUGACGGGGGCCUACAACAAGUGGUGGAGCAUGUGGUUUAAUGCGAUAAUCCGCGCAAAACCUUACCAACCUUUGAAUAAAAAAAAUUAUUUUAAAUAGUUUAUAAAAUAAUCUUACAUUUUUAUAAUAUUUUUUUACAGGUGUUGCACGUCUGCCGUCAGCUCGUGUCGUAAGAUGUUUGGUUCAUUCCUUUAACGAGCGCAACUCUUAUUUUUAUAUUUUGUGUAUUAAAUUUUUUGUUUUUAAAUACAAAAAUUUACUAUAAAAAGACUAGCAAUGAUAAAUUGAAGGAAGAAGAAUUAAGUCAAGUCACUGUGGCCUUUAUAGGUUGGGCUACACACGUGCUACAACGAAAAAUACAAUAAGUUACUAAAAUUAAUUGUUAAAGUUAAUCUUUAAAACUUUUCUUAGUUCAGAUUGUAAGCUGAAACUCGCUUACAUGAAGUUGGAAUCACUAGUAAUCGCAAAUCAGAAUGUUGCGGUGAAUAUGUAUCUUGGCCUUGUACACACCGCCCGUCA
rnacentral:rRNA from 12 species